UGCUCCUUCUCCCAAAAUCCCGGCAAGCCAGCCCGCCCGCGCCUCACCUCCACCUCGAGAAGAACCGCGACGCUUCCACGAAGCUCCCGCCGCAUUCGCCUUGGUGCCCCGCGCCCCCACGCUCCCCCGCAUCGGAGCUCCAUGCCGCCGGCCGCUCGCCGCCGCCGACAGCUGCUUCCCGACCUCCUCUGACCCAGCCGCCAAGUCUAGGAGCACCGCGCCGCUGCCAGGAAUCUCCUGCUGCCCUUGAAUCGAAUCCCCGCCAACCAGAGCCGCCCCGCCUCGAAGCUCUGUCCCGGCGAAAGCUCGUCGCCGUCGCUAGCUUCUUCCGGAGUCAGAUCCGUGUGGUGGCGGGAGGAAGCCAGCGGUUGCUCCCUCGCGCGGAUAGGGGAGGGCUCGGGCGCCCCGAUUUGUAGGGGAGAAGGAGAGGAGAAUAGGGGACGCGGAUUUUUUGGGGAAGUGAUAGGGGAACUGCUGGAGAGCUGUUUUGGCCGUUUUCCCCCUAAAAAUCGGAUCGGGAAGGGUAUAAGGGGACUGCUGGACUUGCUCUUACACCCUCCAUCUCUAGCGCCCAACUCCACUUGCCGUCGCCGUCCGUCGCCGCCGGCGGAAUCAAAUGGGGACGUCGGUGCAGGUGACGCCGCUCAGCGGCGCGUACGGGGAGGGGCCCCUGUGCUACCUGCUCGCGGUCGACGGGUUCCGCUUCCUCCUCGACUGCGGCUGGACCGACCACUGCGACCCCUCCCUCCUCCAGCCCCUCGCCAGGGUUGCGCCAACAAUAGAUGCUGUUCUUCUGUCUCAUCCUGACAUCAUGCAUCUAGGAGCUUUGCCCUAUGCCAUGAAGCAUCUCGGACUAUCUGCACCAGUUUAUGUGACAGAACCUGUGUUUAGGCUGGGCCUUUUGACCAUGUAUGAUUAUUUUCUAUCUAGAUGGCAAGUUGCAGACUUUGACUUGUUUACUUUGGAUGAUAUUGAUGCUGCAUUCCAAAAUGUUGUGAGACUAAAAUACUCACAAAAUCACCUUCUUAAUGCAGAUAAAGGUGAAGGAAUAGUUAUUGCGCCGCAUGUGUCUGGGCAUCUUUUGGGGGGUACAGUAUGGAAGAUAACAAAAGAUGGGGAGGAUGUCGUCUAUGCUGUUGACUUCAACCAUCGGAAAGAGAGGCAUUUGAACGGUACUGCCCUCGGAUCUUUUGUACGGCCAGCUGUUUUGAUUACUGAUGCAUACAAUGCCUUGAACAAUCAGGUCUACAAAAGGCAACAGGAUCAAGAUUUCAUUGAUUCAAUGGUGAAAGUUCUAGCAAGUGGUGGUAGUGUGCUACUGCCUGUCGAUACAGCUGGUAGAGUGCUAGAACUUCUUUUAAUAAUGGAGCAGUAUUGGGCUCAACGACAUUUGGUCUAUCCUAUCUACUUUCUGACAAAUGUUUCUACGAGUACUGUUGAUUAUGUCAAGAGUUUUCUUGAAUGGAUGAGUGAUUCGAUCUCAAAGUCUUUUGAGCACACUAGAGACAAUGCCUUCUUAUUGAGAUAUGUCUCGCUGAUAAUUAACAAAGAAGAGCUGGAGAAACUGGGAGAUGCUCCAAAGGUGGUUCUAGCGUCCAUGGCAAGUUUGGAGGUUGGCUUUUCUCAUGACAUAUUUGUUGAGAUGGCAAAUGAAGCCAAAAAUUUAGUGCUUUUUACUGAGAAGGGGCAGUUUGGGACACUUGCUCGCAUGCUUCAAGUGGAUCCACCCCCCAAAGCUGUAAAGGUCACUAUGGGCAAGCGAAUUCCUUUAGUUGGUGAUGAGCUGAAAGCUUAUGAAGAGGAACAAGAACGGAUAAAAAAGGAAGAAUUGCUAAAGGCUAGCCUCAGCAAAGAUGAGGAGCUAAAGGCUUCUCAUGGAUCAAAUGCAAAGGCUUCUGAUCCCAUGGUCGUUGAUGCAAGUUCGUCUCGUAAAUCAUCCAAUGCUGGCUCACAUGUUGGCGGAAAUGUGGAUAUUCUAAUCGAUGGAUUUGUCCCUUCGACGACCAGCGUUGCUCCAAUGUUUCCUUUUUUUGAAAAUACUGCUGACUGGGAUGACUUUGGCGAGGUCAUCAAUCCUGAUGAUUAUAUGAUGAAACAAGACGAAAUGGAUAAUAAUAUGAUGCUUGGUGCUGGAGAUGGUAUGGAUGGUAAGCUUGACGAGGGCUCAGCACGCUUGCUUCUUGAUUCAGCACCUUCAAAAGUUAUUUCCAACGAGAUGACUGUGCAAGUGAAGUGCUCAUUGGUGUAUAUGGACUUUGAAGGUCGGUCUGAUGGGCGUUCUGUAAAAUCAGUUAUUGCUCAUGUAGCCCCACUGAAACUUGUUUUGGUACAUGGGUCAGCAGAAGCUACUGAACAUUUAAAAAUGCAUUGUGCAAAGAACUCAGACUUGCAUGUUUAUGCUCCUCAGAUAGAAGAAACAAUUGAUGUAACUUCAGACUUAUGUGCUUACAAGGUUAGUUUGUUAGCUGCCAAGCUCUUUCUUAGUAGAGCAUCACUUAGGACUUGAAGAUCAUGAAUGUAAAGCCAUCGUCAGAUACUGGUGCAACUUUCAGAGAAGUUAAUGAGCAAUGUCAUUUCUAAGAAGUUGGGCGAGCAUGAAAUUGCGUGGGUUGAUGCAGAAGUUGGAAAAGUGGAUGAGAAGCUUAAUCUGCUACCCCCCUCGUCAACUCCAUCUGCCCACAAAUCAGUUCUUGUUGGUGAUCUGAAAUUGGCCGAUUUCAAGCAAUUCCUAGCAAAUAAAGGUCUACAGGUUGAGUUUGCUGGGGGUGCUCUACGGUGCGGCGAGUACAUCACAGUGCGCAAGAUUGGUGAUUCUAACCAGAAGGGCAGCACGGUUUCGCAGCAGAUUGUGAUCGAAGGUCCGCUGUGCGAGGACUACUACAAGAUCCGUGAGCUCCUUUACUCCCAGUUCUUCUUGUUGUAAGGCCUGUCGCAUUCGGAGCGGCACCAUUGCUGCCGUGUGCUGUGUAAAACCGACAGAAGAGGAUACUGCUUGUAUUAAUCAAUUACUAAUCCUGGGAAUCCCUGUUGUACAAUUCUCACAUAUUUGUCUCCCGAAAGUUCAGGUUACUGCUCACUGAUCCUGUAGUUGGUUGUUUUCAAGUUUUUUUUUUAAGUUUUUCGUGUAAAUGUGGACUUUAUUAGUUUUAUAAACUUGGUAAAACAAGGGGAAAAAGCGCUGAGGGCUCCGGAGUGUUCUUUGCA